rnacentral:rRNA from 1 species
UCAGCGACGGAUAUCUUGGCUCGAGCACCUAUGAAGGGCGCAGCGAAGUGCGAUAAUCGUUGUGAAUUGCAGAACUCCGUGAACCAAUGGCCUCUUGAACGUGCAUUGCGCUCUUGGGAU